AGUUGGGAAACAUUUUUAUAUUUCAAUUUAAUAGUAUUCUCUGUAUUUUUUUUAAUUAUUAGGUAUGGCAACUAUGUUUCUAUUUGUCACACUAUUUCGUUUCCCUUACUUUGCAGGGGGAAGCACAUCGAGCUCACAAUAUCAUACCACUUAAUAUUAAGGAUAUAUUGGAUGCAGUUCACGAAAAAAUUCAAGAUAGAGGACACAGAAGCUCACAUGGUAUUCAUUUAAUUGCUUAUCAUACAAUUUAAAAAUGUAACAUUUGUCGGCACUGUUGCAGAGAUUGAGUCCAAUCACACAAACAUUUCAUACACGCAAACAGGAUUCCUACGACUUGGACUUCAUUCAAGUUUCAAACAUGAAUUUGUGCAGCAGCAUUGCUAGUGACACGCUCCAAGAAGACCACACACACGGCAGAAACUGACGAGAUCAUUGCACCCAAUAAAAAUGACUUAAGAAACCAA